UACGUAGGCAGCGAGCGUUGUUCGGAGUUACUGGGCGUAAAGGGUGCGUAGGCGGUUGUUUAAGUUUGGUGUGAAAUCUCCCGGCUCAACUGGGAGGGUGCGCCGAAUACUGAAUGACUAGAGUGCGGGAGAGGAUAGUGGAAUUCCUGGUGUAGCGGUGAAAUGCGUAGAUAUCUGGAGGAAUACCGGUGGCGAAGGCGGCAUCCUGGACCGGCAUUGACGCUGAUGAGCGAAAGCUAGGGGAGCAAACGGGG
rnacentral:rRNA from 1 species